UCAGGAUGAACGCUAGCUACAGGCUAACACAUGCAAGUCGAGGGGCAGCAUGAUCAAGCUUGCUUGAUGAUGGCGACCGGCGCACGGGUGAGUAACGCGUAUCCAACCUUCUCUAUAGUAGAGGAUAGCCCGGCGAAAGUCGGAUUAAUACUCUAUGUUGUAUUUAGAGGACAUCUGAAGAAUACCAAAGGUUUACCGCUAUAGGAUGGGGAUGCGUCUGAUUAGGUAGUCGGCGGGGUAACGGCCCACCGAGCCAUCGAUCAGUAGGGUUCUGAGAGGAAGGUCCCCCACAUUGGAACUGAGACACGGUCCAAACUCCUACGGGAGGCAGCAGUGAGGAAUAUUGGUCAAUGGGCGAGAGCCUGAACCAGCCAAGUAGCGUGCAGGAUGACGGCCCUAUGGGUUGUAAACUGCUUUUAUACAGGGAUAAAGUGGGGAACGUGUUCCCUUUUGUAGGUACUGUAUGAAUAAGGACCGGCUAAUUCCGUGCCAGCAGCUGC
rnacentral:rRNA from 1 species